rnacentral:rRNA from 1 species
GACAGAGGUGCCGAGCGUUAGGCGGAAUCACUGGGCUUAAAGCGUGUGUAGGCGGGUCGUUAAGUGUCUUGUGAAAUCCCACCGCUCAACGGUGGAACUGCUGGGCAUACUGGCGAUCUUGAGCCACCUAGGGGCAGACGGAACAAGCGGUGGAGCGGUGAAAUGCGUAGAUAUCGCUUGGAACGCCGACGGUGAAAACAGUCUGCUGGGGGUGUGCUGGCGCUGAGACACGAAAGCCAGGGGAGCGAACGGG